rnacentral:sRNA from 1 species
UGAGUUCCACCUGAUGUGUUUACAAUUUA